GUCAAUGAUGAGUCCUUCAUCCCUCCCGAGACCACCACUCACUCUUUUCAUCUGCCGAGACCAGGGUUUGGACCACAGGACACCUGCACACUUCCUGCUCAUGAAGUUUAACCAUCCAUGAACUGUUGACGAUCAUCACCAGGACAUUCCCGAACAUCAUCAGAGCCAUUUGUCGUACCUUAUUUAGCAGGACUAAAUAAAAUAUGAGCCUCAGCGUGAUGGAUUUCUGAUGUUGCAUUUUGUCCAGGAGGAAAAAGGCAGGAAGACCAGCGGAAGCCUUGAGCAGGUGUCUGGGAGAUGGAGGAUUUCCAGCUUCUGCUACUGGAUUCACCCUUUGGUCCCCUCCUGGGCUUUCUGCUUUGGCAAAACUUCCCUCCUGGCUGAGACGCUGCAGUAGUUUGGAGAUUUUUAGGCCCCUAAACCUGGCUUGCCCACAACCCUGAGCAAGCACAAAAAAAUGUGGAAUGUCCGUCAUCUGUCCCCGGCCAUCAGCUGCUCCUGGGAACUGGCUGACCACAGCGGGACACUUUCCUGUCAGAUUCCACUGGUCACUUCCCCGUGCUUGUCCAGCUUCCCCUCCAAAGAUCCUGCUUAUCUCUGCCUGUUCCAUAGCAAAAUAUUACCCUAUAAAAGAAAACCCUUUUUCUGUUUGAUUUUAAGACACAUUCAAAUUUCUGCAAUCAGAGCAUUCUCCCUAUUACAAUAGCCUUUCUUCUAAAUAAACCCUCUCCCUAUGGAAGUCCAGAUUUGUUUUUAUUUGACACCAGGUUUCUGAACCUGAGUUUUAUAUUCUGCAAAGGGAAGAGGCAAGAAAAAAUGGCCUGUACGGGUCCUUUCCAG
rnacentral:lncRNA from 1 species